ACGAACGCUGGCGGCGUGCUUAACACAUGCAAGUCGAACGGAAAGGCCUCUUUCGGGGGGUACUCGAGUGGCGAACGGGUGAGUAACACGUGAGUAACCUGCCCUUGACUUUGGGAUAACUUCAGGAAACUGGGGCUAAUACCGGAUAGGAGCUCCUGCUGCAUGGUGGGGGGUGGAAAGUUUCGGCGGUUGGGGAUGGACUCGCGGCUUAUCAGCUUGUUGGUGGGGUAGUGGCUUACCAAGGCUUUGACGGGUAGCCGGCCUGAGAGGGUGACCGGCCACAUUGGGACUGAGAUACGGCCCAGACUCCUACGGGAGGCAGCAGUGGGGAAUAUUGCACAAUGGGUGGAAGCCUGAUGCAGCAACGCCGUGUGCGGGAUGACGGCCUUCGGGUUGUAAACCGCUUUCGCUCAUGACGAAGCUUUGUGUGACGGUAGUGGGUAAAGAAGCACCGGCUAACUACGUG
rnacentral:rRNA from 1 species